rnacentral:rRNA from 1 species
GAUAAACGCUGGCGGCGUGCUUAACACAUGCAAGUCGAACGGAGUACUUCUCCCGAGACCGAGGAAGCUUGCUUCCAAAGAAUCAUUUGAAGUACUUAGUGGCGGACGGGUGAGUAACGCGUGGGUAACCUGCCUCACACAGGGGGAUAACAGUUGGAAACGACUGUUAAUACCGCAUAAGCGCACAGUAUCGCAUGAUACAGUGUGAAAAACUCCGGUGGUGUGAGAUGGACCCGCGUCUGAUUAGCUAGUUGGUGAGGUAACGGCCCACCAAGGCGACGAUCAGUAGCCGGCCUGAGAGGGUGUACGGCCACAUUGGGACUGAGACACGGCCCAAACUCCUACGGGAGGCAGCAGUGGGGAAUAUUGCACAAUGGGGGAAACCCUGAUGCAGCGACGCCGCGUGAGCUGAUGAAGUAUUUCGGUAUGUAAAGCUCUAUCAGCAGGGAAGAUAAUGACGGUAC